UCCAGCAGUCAUAUCACCAUGCAACUCACAACUGGCAACCCACUGAAGCUCAGCAGGUGCGAGCCUGGUCAGUACCUGGAUGGGAGACCUCCUGGGAAAGCUGAGGCUGCUGCUGGAA
rnacentral:rRNA from 1 species